UCGCGGCCACCUCCCACCCUUGUCUCUAUACACCUGUUGCUUUGGCGGGCCCACCGGGGCCACCUGGUCGCCGGGGGACGCACGUCCCCGGGCCCGCGCCCGCCGAAGCGCUCUGUGAACCCUGAUGAAGAUGGGCUGUCUGAGUACUAUGAAAAUUGUCAAAACUUUCAACAAUGGAUCUCUUGGUUCCGGCAUCGAUGAAGAACGCAGCGAAAUGCGAUAAGUAAUGUGAAUUGCAGAAUUCCGUGAAUCAUCGAAUCUUUGAACGCACAUUGCGCCCCCUGGCAUUCCGGGGGGCAUGCCUGUCCGAGCGUCAUUUCUGCCCUCAAGCACGGCUUGUGUGUUGGGUGUGGUCCCCCCGGGGACCUGCCCGAAAGGCAGCGGCGACGUCCGUCUGGUCCUCGAGCGUAUGGGGCUCUGUCACUCGCUCGGGAAGGACCUGCGGGGGUUGGUCACCACCAUAUUUUACCACGGUUGACCUCGGAUCAGGUAGGAGUUACCCGCUGAACUUAAGCAUAUCAAUAAGGCGGAGGUCAUUACCGAGUGCGGGCCUCGCGGCCCAACCUCCACCUUGUCUCUAUACACUGUUGCUUUGGCGGGCCCACGGGGCACUGGUCGCGGGGGACGCAGUCGGGCGCGCCCGCCGAAGCGCUCUGUGAACUGAUGAAGAUGGGCUGUCUGAGUACUAUGAAAAUUGUCAAAACUUUCACAAUGGAUCUCUUGGUUCGGCAUCGAUGAAGAACGCAGCGAAAUGCGAUAAGUAAUGUGAAUUGCAGAAAUUCGUGAAAUCAUCGAAAUCUUUUGAACGCCACAUUGCGCUCCUGGGCAAUUCGGGGGGGGCAUG
rnacentral:rRNA from 1 species